AGAAUGUUCAACUUCAACAAUGAUAUUUGCAAAAGGAUUGUGCGGGCACCUCUGAAUGACCUCCGUUUAGGUCAAAGUGGAGCUUCUAAACAAAUUGGUACACAUGAAGAUGCGCCUGAUAUGGAGUCAAACGGUCUAACUUCAUCAAUCAACAUGGAGGAAGUAUCCAAGUCAUCUGAGCAUAAAGUUACAGAUCUAGAUCCGGAUGCUAAUGUUUCUCCCACGAGCAAAAUGAGCAAAGCCCCUAAAGCUGGAGAAAGUGCAUCACAAGAAGCCUUGAAAUUGUGGGGUGAAAAUGGUUUUUCAAGCCUAAUAAUUGCAGCUCCAGAUCUAGAUCCUUGGAGCUUAGUCAAAGAUCUCCUGCCACUUGUAUCGUAUUCGGCUCCAUUUGCUAUCUACCACCAGUAUCUUCAGCCUCUUGCAAAUUGCAUGCACAAUCUACAGCUUGGGAAAAUGGCAAUUGGUUUGCAAAUUUCAGAGCCUUGGCUACGUGAAUAUCAGGUUCUUCCUUCGAGAACUCAUCCAUGCAUGCAGAUGAGUGCAUUUGGUGGUUACAUCCUGAGCGGGACAAGGAUAUGUAGCAGUUAAUCCCUACUUCAAAAGAACAAAUGGAUAAUAUAUGCUCAUUCAUGCAUGGGGCUCGUCUUCGGCAAGCAAAGCAGCUGCCCACCAAAUGCAUGCUAGAUUUUCAUUGAUAUUUGCUUUUGUUUGCAAAUUUGUGCCAUUCCAUGAUUUGGGAACUUGCAAUGCUGCAAGUUAAUUUUUUCCAUGGCAGUAUUGCAAUCUAGCUUGCAUGGCUUGAUUUGUUGUACUAACAUUCAGC
rnacentral:misc_RNA from 1 species